rnacentral:rRNA from 1 species
AUUGAACGCUGGCGGCAGGCCUAACACAUGCAAGUCGAACGGUAACAGGAAACAGCUUGCUGUUUCGCUGACGAGUGGCGGACGGGUGAGUAAUGUCUGGGAAACUGCCUGAUGGAGGGGGAUAACUACUGGAAACGGUAGCUAAUACCGCAUAACGUCGCAAGACCAAAGAGGGGGACCUUCGGGCCUCUUGCCAUCGGAUGUGCCCAGAUGGGAUUAGCUAGUAGGUGGGGUAACGGUUCACCUAGGCGACGAUCCCUAGCUGGUCUGAGAGGAUGACCAGCCACACUGGAACUGAGACACGGUCCAGACUCCUACGGGAGGCAGCAGUGGGGAAUAUUGCACAAUGGGCGCAAGCCUGAUGCAGCCAUGCCGCGUGUAUGAAGAAGGCCUUCGGGUUGUAAAGUACUUUCAGCGGGGAGGAAGGGAGUAAAGUUAAUACCUUGGCUUAUUGACGUUACCCGCAGAAGAAGCACCGGCUAACUCCGUG